rnacentral:rRNA from 1 species
AAUCAACGCUGGCGGCGUGCCUCAGACAUGCAAGUCGAACGAUUAAAGCUCUCUUCGGAGAGUGUAUAGAGUGGCGCACGGGUGAGUAACACGUAAGUAAUCUACCUUUGAGUGGGGAAUAACCCGGGGAACCCGAGCUAAUACCGCAUAAUGCAGCGGCACCGCAAGGUGACAGUUGUUAAAGGAGCAAUCCGCUUAAAGAGGAGCUUGCGGCAGAUUAGCAGUUGGUAAGGUAAUGGCUUACCAAGGCUUCGAUCUGUAUCCGGCUGAGAGGGCGGUCGGACACACUGACACUGAAUAACGGGUCAGACUCCUACGGGAGGCAGCAGUCGGGAAUUUUGGGCAAUGGGCGAAAGCCUGACCCAGCAACGCCG